CCUACGGGAGGCAGCAGUGGGGAAUAUUGCACAAUGGGGGAAACCCUGAUGCAGCGACGCCGCGUGAGUGAAGAAGUAUUUCGGUAUGUAAAGCUCUAUCAGCAGGGAAGAAGCAAGACGGUACCUGACUAAGAAGCCCCGGCUAACUACGUGCCAGCAGCCGCGGUAAUACGUAGGGGGCAAGCGUUAUCCGGAUUUACUGGGUGUAAAGGGAGCGUAGACGGUAGUGCAAGUCUGAAGUGAAAGGCCAGGGCUUAACCCUGGGACGGCUUUGGAAACUGUUAGACUGGAGUGCUGGAGAGGAAAGUGGAAUUCCUAGUGGAGCGGUGAAAUGCGUAGAUAUUAGGAGGAACACCAGUGGCGAAGGCGGCUUACUGGACUGUAACUGACGUUGAGGCUCGAAAGCGUGGGGAGCAAACAGGAUUAGAUACCCUAGUAGUC
rnacentral:rRNA from 1 species